rnacentral:lncRNA from 1 species
GAAAAAAUCUCCAAUUUACAGCAAGUUAAAGAAAAAAAAGAAGAGAAAAACAGCAGUUAAAAAAAACUGGGCAUCUUGCUUCUUUCUUAUUGAAAGUUCUGCCGUUUCUUUCAAGUCAAAUUGACCAUAAAAUGCUCAAAUGAGAUUUUUCAAUAGGAAUAUGUAAAAAAAAAUAUAAUAUGUAAAAGAAUUUUUGUGAAACGUGGGAGAGAAGCGAUAACAUUAUCCUUCAAAAAAUUCAGGAGUAGUAAAUAUUUAUGUGAAAGGACAUAUUAUAAGCCACAGUAGUUAUGGAAAACAUCUCCAAUUUACAGCAAGUUAAAGAAAAAAAAAGAAGAGAAAAACAGCAGCUAAAAAAAACUGGGCAUCUUGCUUCUUUCUUAUUGAAAGUUCUGCCGUUUCUUUCAAGUCAAAUUGACCAUAAAAUGCUCAAAUGAGAUUCUUCAAUAGGAAUAUGUAAAAGAACUUUUGUGAAACGUGGGAGAGAAGCGAUAACAUUAUCCUUCCAAAAAUUCAGGAGUAAAUAUUUAUGUGAAAGGACAUAUUAUUUGGCCAUUUGACCUUAUUUGGUUGGAAAUGAUAAACUACACAUUAUUGUUUGCUUCAGUUGUGAUCUUGAUUAUGGGCUAUUUGGUAUUUUGCCUAC